UACGUAGGGGGCUAGCGUUGUCCGGAUUUAUUGGGCGUAAAGAGCGUGUAGGCGGCCAGGUAAGUCUGCUGUGAAAACUCGAGGCUCAACCUCGAGACGUCGGCGGAAACCAUCUGGCUAGAGUCCGGAAGAGGAGAGUGGAAUUCCUGGUGUAGCGGUGAAAUGCGCAGAUAUCAGGAAGAACACCAGUGGCGAAGGCGGCUCUCUGGGACGGUACUGACGCUGAGACGCGAAAGCGUGGGGAGCGAACAGG
rnacentral:rRNA from 1 species